rnacentral:rRNA from 1 species
CAGCCGCCGCGGUAAUACAGAGGGUGCGAGCGUUAAUCGGAUUUACUGGGCGUAAAGCGUGCGUAGGCGGCUUUUUAAGUCGGAUGUGAAAUCCCUGAGCUUAACUUAGGAAUUGCAUUCGAUACUGGGAAGCUAGAGUAUGGGAGAGGAUGGUAGAAUUCCAGGUGUAGCGGUGAAAUGCGUAUAGAUCUGGAGGAAUACCGAUGGCGAAGGCAGCCAUCUGGCCUAAUACUGACGCUGAGGUACGAAAGCAUGGGGAGCAAACAGGAUUAGAUACCCGAGUAGUCCCUGUCUCUUAUAC